UUGAACGCUGGCGGCAGGCCUAACACAUGCAAGUCGAGCGGAUGAAGGGAGCUUGCUCCUGGAUUCAGCGGCGGACGGGUGAGUAAUGCCUAGGAAUCUGCCUGGUAGUGGGGGAUAACGUCCGGAAACGGGCGCUAAUACCGCAUACGUCCUGAGGGAGAAAGUGGGGGAUCUUCGGACCUCACGCUAUCAGAUGAGCCUAGGUCGGAUUAGCUAGUUGGUGGGGUAAAGGCCUACCAAGGCGACGAUCCGUAACUGGUCUGAGAGGAUGAUCAGUCACACUGGAACUGAGACACGGUCCAGACUCCUACGGGAGGCAGCAGUGGGGAAUAUUGGACAAAGGGCGAAAGCCUGAUCCAGCCAUGCCGCGUGUGUGAAGAAGGUCUUCGGAUCGUAAAGCACUUUAAGUUGGGAGGAAGGGCAGUAAGUUAAUACCUUGCUGUUUUGACGUUACCAACAGAAUAAGCACCGGCUAACUUCGUG
rnacentral:rRNA from 1 species